AAUUAAUUUUAACGGCCGCGGUAUCCUGACCGUGCAAAGGUAGCAUAAUCACUUGUCUCCUAAAUAGAGACUUGUAUGAAUGGCAAAACGAGGGUUUAACUGUCUCUUUUUCUCAAUCAAUGAAAUUGACCUACCCGUGCAGAGGCGGGUAUAACUAUAUAAGACGAGAAGACCCUGUGGAGCUUAAAAUUACAACUUAAAUUAAUUUAUAUUAUACCCUAAGGGAUUAAUCUUACAAAACUUUUAAGCUGAAUUUUUGGUUGGGGUGACCUCGGAGCACAAACAACCCUCCGAAUGACAUAACUAAGACCAACACGUCUAAGUGCAACCUAAGCCAGUAAUUGACCCAAAACUUGAUCAACGGACCAGGUUACCCCAGGGAUAACAGCGCAAUCCUAUUU
rnacentral:rRNA from 1 species